rnacentral:rRNA from 1 species
AACGCUAGCUACAGGCUUAACACAUGCAAGUCGAGGGGCAGCAUGAUUGAAGCUUGCUUCAAUCGAUGGCGACCGGCGCACGGGUGAGUAACACGUAUCCAACCUGCCGAUAACUCGGGGAUAGCCUUUCGAAAGAAAGAUUAAUACCCGAUAGCAUAGUUUUUCCGCAUGGUUUCACUAUUAAAGAAUUUCGGUUAUCGAUGGGGAUGCGUUCCAUUAGGUAGUUGGCGGGGUAACGGCCCACCAAGUCAACGAUGGAUAGGGGUUCUGAGAGGAAGGUCCCCCACAUUGGAACUGAGACACGGUCCAAACUCCUACGGGAGGCAGCAGUGAGGAAUAUUGGUCAAUGGACGAGAGUCUGAACCAGCCAAGUAGCGUGAAGGAUGACUGCCCUAUGGGUUGUAAACUUCUUUUAUACGGGAAUAAAGUGGAGUAUGCAUACUCCUUUGUAUGUACCGUAUGAAUAAGGAUCGGCUAACUCCGUGCCAGCAGCCGCGGUAAUACGGAGGAUCCGAGCGUUAUCCGGAUUUAUUGGGUUUAAAGGGAGCGUAGGCGGGUGCUUAAGUCAGUUGUGAAAGUUUGCGGCUCAACCGUAAAAUUGCAGUUGAUACUAGGCGCCUUGAGUGCAGCAUAGGUAGGCGGAAUUCGUGGUGUAGCGGUGAAAUGCUUAGAUAUCACGAAGAACUCCGAUUG